UCCCUCUUAGCUCAGUGGUAGAGCGCGUCACUAGUAUGCACAUGAUAGUUACCCAGUCUAACUAUGACGAGGUCAGUCGUUCAAGUCGGCUAGAGGGAA